UACAGAGGGUGCAAGCGUUAAUCGGAUUUACUGGGCGUAAAGCGUGCGUAGGCGGUUUGUUAAGUCGGUUGUGAAAGCCCUGGGCUCAACCUGGGAAUUGCAGUCGAUACUGACAGGCUAGAGAACGGUAGAGGGAGGCGGAACUCCAGGUGUAGCAGUGAAAUGCGUAGAUAUCUGGAAGAACACCGAUGGCGAAGGCAACCUCCUGGGCCUGUUCUGACGCUGAGGCACGAAAGCGUGGGGAGCAACAGG
rnacentral:rRNA from 1 species